rnacentral:lncRNA from 1 species
ACCGGAACGCUCAUCGUCGUAACCGACGGAGUGCUUCCAUUCCCAUUCCAUUCUUUGUAUAAUUCUUAAAUCAUCCACAAUGUGUAAUUUUGGUAUUUCUGUUUCCUUGUGAACCAGUGAGAUACCCUUCAGACUUCCUUAACACGAAUGACAAGGGGUUUACAAAAAAUACAAGCAACAUCAGAGAGAGGCUAUCCCCUUGGAAAAUGCCUUUGCGAUACUGUGUUCUAUCGGUGAUAAUACAGUCACUCUUUGUGUUCAAUUUCAAGACGGUGGCCUACGAUGUAGUCACAAAGGGCCAUAGGCUGAUGGGUUUCAGGGUCUGAAGAAAUGCUGUAAAGCUAAGUGCUAUGUGUUUGUCGACUGGUGUGUUCUAUUUCAAGAUGGUGGCCUACGAUGUAGUCAGGUCAGCUAAGGCAUUGACUGUUCCCACUGGAACUUUAGCAAGUUGAAGGGCUUUUAGCAUCCAUGAGUAGGGAACAGUCAAAGGCUUUCUUGUGGUCUAGCCACAUUGAAACUAGGUCUUUCCUAUGCCCUUGCAUAACAUCUGCUUCUAUACUCAGUAGAAAUAAGGCAUCCCUAAAAUUAUUUCAGCGAGUUUAAAUUGAUUUCUUUUGUGCCAUAAACCAUUUACCAUUUCUGUGGUGCCCCACUUGCUUUGGUACCCUCAGCCCAUGCUUAUUUUAAUGGUUAAUCCAGUGGUACCCACUGGCAUAGCUCUCACAGUCAUUAACCCUUUAGCAUUUAAACUGGCCAUAUCCGGCUCAAAUGUCCUACCUGUUUUAUAUUCAAACUGGCUGGAUCUGGCCUUUCACACCUACCCUUCAAUGUUAUUCCAAAAAUACAUAAUCGCAUCAUUGAAAUCUAUGAGACAAUGCCAGAUUAAUUCAAAAUGAUGUAGAUAAAUAAGCAUUAUAUUUGACAAAGGCGCAUGGCUCAGUGGUUAGAGCGUCGAGCUAACGAUCGUGAGGUUGUAAGCUCGAAUCCUGGACCGGGCUGUGUUCUUGAGCAAGACACUUUAUUUCACGUUGCUCCAGUUCACUCAGCUGUAGAAAUGAGUUGCGACAUCACUGGUGCCAAGCUGUAUCGGCCCCUUUGCCUUUCCCUUGGAUAACACUGGUGGCGUGGAGAGGAGAGGCCGGUAUGCACGGGCGACUGCUGGUCUUCCAUAAACAAUCUUGCCCAGACUUUUGCCUCAGAGGGUAACUUUCUAGGUGCAAACCCACGGUCAGUCAUGACCAAAGGGGGUCCUAAUAUUUGACAAAGUAAUCUGAACACCAAAGGGUUAAGGAAUAUAAGCCACUGUACUGCAACAAGGACUAGACCUUGUGCUGGGCCCAACCAAUCAUAUUCUAGGGUCUGCAUAGGUUUUCUUCUUACAAAUGCCUGGUUUUGUGUCUGUGUUAGAAAUUAAAGCACAGUAGUGGAUUAGCAGAAUGGCUUUAGGGAUUUAGCUACAGGUUCUUAUGCUUUUAGUUCAGGGUUCAAAUCCUGUUAUGGUCAAACUUGGCCUUUCAUCCUUCCAAGGGUCACAGAUUUUUAUGCUCUUAGUUUAUGGCACAAAUCCUGCAGAGGUCAACUUUGUCUUUUAUCUUUUUAAGGACCAAUAAAAUAAAGUACCACCCAAGUACUGGGGUCGGUUAAACUGUUAAACCCUUGCCCUAAAAUUAUUGUUGUAAUAAAAAGUAUUUAGUCUUGUCUCUGUUAUUUUCUGAGUUCAAAUCCUGCAAAGGACCCUUUGCUUUCUUGACCACUUAGGCAUG